AUUGAACGCUGGCGGCAGGCUUAACACAUGCAAGUCGAGCGGGGGAAGGUAGCUUGCUACCGGACCUAGCGGCGGACGGGUGAGUAAUGCUUAGGAAUCUGCCUAUUAGUGGGGGACAACAUCUCGAAAGGGAUGCUAAUACCGCAUACGUCCUACGGGAGAAAGCAGGGGAUCUUCGGACCUUGCGCUACUAGAUGAGCCUAAGUCGGAUUAGCUAGUUGGUGGGGUAAAGGCCUACGAAGGCGACGAUCUGUAGCGGGUCGGAGAGGAUGAUCCGCCACACUGGGACUGAGACACGGCCCAGACUCCUACGGGAGGCAGCAGUGGGGAAUAUUGGACAAUGGGGGGAACCCUGAUCCAGCCAUGCCGCGUGUGUGAAGAAGGCCUUAUGGUUGUAAAGCACUUUAAGCGAGGAGGAGGCUACUCUAGUUAAUACCUAGGGAUAGUGGACGUUACUCGCAGAAUAAGCACCGGCUAACUCUGUGCCAGCCGCCGCGGUAA
rnacentral:rRNA from 1 species